rnacentral:rRNA from 1 species
UGAGGAAUAUUGGGCAAUGCCCGAAAGGGUAACCCAGCAACGCCGCGUGGAGGAUGAAGGUCGUAAGAUUGUAAACUCCUGUUAGAGGGGAAGAAUAACUAAGUUUGGAGCUUAGUAUGACUGUACCCUCAGAGAAAGCCCCGGCUAACUACGUGCCAGCAGCCGCGGUAAUACGUAGGGGGCAAGCGUUGUCCGGAUUUACUGGGUGUAAAGGGCGCGCAGGCGGAAUGGAAAGUCAGUGGUGAAAUCCUACAGCUUAACUGUAGAACUGCCUUUGAUACUUUCAUUCUUGAGUUCGGGAGAGAGAGACGGAAUUCCAGGUGUAGUGGUGAAAUACGUAGAUAUCUGGAAGAACACCAGUUGCGAAGGCGGUCUCUUGGUCCGAUACUGACGCUGAGGCGCGAAAGCGUGGGGAGCAAACA